UUAGUUUAAAUAUGAAUAUUUUCGUUUGCAUCCGUUCAAAAUUAGAUGUCUGAAAAUUAUUUUUUUCUGCCUAAAAGUCACGAGAAAAGCAUUUCGCUUUACCACAAUAUAAUACAAAACUGUGCGGGCGAUGGCGUGUACAUUUCAAUAACAAUACUGUAGACAAUGAGUUGUGGGCUGCCUGUUGCUCGAUCUGGUUAUAUCAUAUUUCACGACUUCUCGUUUUGUUUAGUCACAUUGUGAAGGGGAAACAAUGCACACAAUGCGAGAACAGAAGCAACACGGAUUAAGUUUUUCCGAACGAAAAGCGAGCCACUGGAUGACCAACCUAGAAUCUCGUUCACCCUGUGCCAUGCAGCAAUGCGCUGUUACAUGAAUCGCAAGUCAAUAGAUGUCUGCUGACAUUCAACUGACAGGAGGAAUGACACAGCCAGAUGUGCCAUGAAGAGAGUACUACAACAGACUUCCAAAACUCGUCUUUGAACAAUCUCGGCAUUCGGGCUUUUAUUACAAUAUAUUUCCUCAACUGGCCCAACUGCAAUGACAAGAGGAAGAUUUACGUUAAAAAUUAGCCGCUGUCGAUAAGUUGUGAAGGAACAUUAAUGAGCUGGGUGGUUUGGAAUAACUGUACUAUUUGAAGGUGUUUACAAAGGCAAUUACCAUAUAUAUUUUCGUUUGGUAUGUCUUUAUACGUUCUCGCGUGCUGUCUUAUUUUGUAUAAUCUGCUUAAUUACCCAAUACAAACACUCAAUUGAGGACAUUCAGAAUUACUGGGAUGGAAACAAUGGAAAGUAAAAAGAAGUAAAGAAGAUAUCGGUAAAGCAUAUAGGUUUGAUUGCCGAAAAGCUUCAACGGGUGCACAAUUAUUUAUGAUAGCACCAUUAAAAAAUUUCGAAGCGAUCACAACGCAUCACGCGACGCAUAACCCGCAUCCGUCCCGAAUAAUCAAUAUUUUUACAAACAAACAGACAACUCGACUCCUUCUUUAACUGCCAUCAUCGGUGCUGAUCUAACACAUCACAACCAAAUCAUUCACACACCAAUUUAUUUUCUGACAAAUAUCCAGAGAUAUUAAUAUGUGCCAGUGAAAAUAAAAACAACAACACUUCUUUGUCUCCAA